rnacentral:rRNA from 1 species
GACAGAGGUGCCGAGCGUUAGGCGGAAUCACUGGGCUUAAAGCGUGUGUAGGCGGACCCGUAAGUACCUUGUGAAAUCCCACGGCUCAACCGUGGAACGGCUGGGUAUACUGCGGGUCUUGAGCAACCUAGGGGCAGACGGAACAAGUGGUGGAGCGGUGAAAUGCGUAGAUAUCACUUGGAACGCCGACGGUGAAAACAGUCUGCUGGGGGUUUGCUGACGCUGAGACACGAAAGCCAGGGGAGCGAACGGG